UCGAAUUGUAGUUUAGAGAAGUGCUAUCCGCGUCGGACUGUNCAAUAAGUCUUCUGGAAAGAAGCAUCAUAGAGGGUGACAAUCCCGUCUUUGGUACAGACUACCGCUGCUUUUGUGAUGCGCUCUCAACGAGUCGAGUUGUUUGGGAAUGCAGCUCUAAAUGGGUGGUAAAUUCCAUCUAAAGCUAAAUAUUGGCGAGAGACCGAUAGCGAACAAGUACCGUGAGGGAAAGAUGAAAAGAACUUUGAAAAGAGAGUUAAACAGUACGUGAAAUUGUUGAAAGGGAAACGCUUGAAGUCAGUCGCAUCNUUCAGAAAUCANNUUGGCCAUUGGUCGAAUGUACUUUCUGCUUANAUGGGUCAGCAUCANUUUCGAUCGUUGGAUAANAUCCNUUGNAAUGUGGCNAUCUUCGGGKUGUGUUAUANACUUUGGUUAUACNACGGNUGGGAUUGANGANCUCNNUGUGCCUUCGGGUUUGGGGCUUCNGCUCACAUUACACACUUUGGAUGCUGGCNUAAUGGCUUUAAUCGACCCGUCUUGAAACACGGACCAAGGAGUCUAACAUGCAUGCNAGUGUUUGGGUGGUUAAACCCAUGCGCGCAAUGAAAGUGAAAAUUGANAACUCUGUCGUGAGUGCAUCGAUGCCCGGUCCAGACCUUCUGUGACGGAUCUGCGG
rnacentral:rRNA from 1 species